rnacentral:lncRNA from 1 species
UGAGGCACAGAAAGCCCAAGCUCUUGCACAAGGAUCAGAAGGGGGUAUAACCAGAAUUUGUUUCUCAGCAUCCUGACCAACAAUUAUUUUACCUACUAAACAGGGAAGCCUUUCAAAUAUAAUCCAGGGUAUCCGCUUCAUUUUACAACUAAAGAAAUGAAGGCUGGGUAAGGAUAAAGGACUCACAAAGAUCGUGUGUUUAGUUUCUGCUGGUCUAGACAUCUGGGUUCCAAAAGAAGAAUGCAUCUCCCAGGAGACAUGACAAUGAUUCCAUUCAACAGGAAGUUGAGACUGCCACCUGAACACUUUGGGCUCCUCAUGCCUCUGAAUCAACGGGCAAAGAAGAGAGUUAUAGAUCCUAACCACCCAGGAGAAAUUCGGUGGCCACUACACAAACAGAGUAAGAGGAGCAUUUCUAUGAUGCGGGAGAUCCUCUAGAAUGUUUGUUGGUAUUCCCAGGUCCUGUGAUUAAAGUAUGUGGAAAACUAUAGCAGCCCAAUUCAGGAUGUUUCCAGAUACUUCACUUUUCUGACUCUGCGGCCAGGUGUUUGUAUUUAACUCCACGGUGAGGAGACUCAUCUUCUGACGGACCUAACCUAUACCAUCAAGCUCCAGCACCACAAGCAAAGACAAAAACCUUGCGGAAACUAUUUAACUAACUCCCACAAUUGCAUAAGGAUCUAAAUGAAAAUAUUUCUGCAGUGAACCAGUUCUAUUGUUUUAAAUAUCACCCUUAUUAAAGAGAGCUUUGACACUUUU